rnacentral:rRNA from 1 species
AGCUAAGAAUAUUCCGCAAUGGACGAAAGUCUGACGGAGCGACGCCGCGUGGAUGAUGAAGGCCGAAAGGUUGUAAAGUCCUUUUGCUGGGGAAGAAUAAGUGUGGGAGGGAAUGCCCGCAUGAUGACAUGAACCGGCGAAUAAGCCCCGGCCAACUACGUGCCAGCAGCCGCGGUAACACGUAGGGGGCGAGCGUUGUUCGGAAUUACUGGGCGUAAAGGGCAUGUAGGCGGUCUGGUAAGCCUGGCGUGAAAGGCCACAGCUCAACUGUGGGAUUGCGUUGGGAACUGCUGGGCUUGAGUUAUGGAGAGGGAGCUAGAAUUCCUGGUGUAGGGGUGAAAUCUGUAGAUAUCAGGAAGAAUACCGAUGGCGAAGGCAAGCUCCUGGCCGAUGACUGACGCUGAGGUGCGAAAGUGUGGGGAUCAAACAGGAUUAGAUACCCUGGUAGUCCACACUGUAAACGAUGUGCACUAGGUGCUGGGGCGGUAGCUUCAGUGCCGGAGCGAACGUGGUAAGUGCACCGCCUGGGGAGUAUGCUCGCAAGGGUG